GGGGCUGCAUUGGUUUCGACGUGGGUUCGGGCACGCAGCAGGGCAUGUCGAGGUUCUGUCACCUCGUUAAACCGCAGAAAAAAAGUAACUGCAAACGACGAACGUUUCACACUCGCCGCCUAAUCCGGCGAGCCUCGCAACAGUUGGCCUGUGGGCUGGGUGAGGGUGGCUGCAAAGCCGUCCUGACUGCGAGGGAAUUCACAUAGGCUGGCUGUCAGGCGGGCAACUUGCCUGGCAGUGAGACCCAAGGUUGCUGGCUUGGCUUGCAGCGUGUCGCUGCGCAGCUUGUCAGGCGAGAUCCAAUCAGACGACUACACAUGUAGAACUGCGCGAAGAAGGCUUGCGGACGGGGGUUCGAUUCCCCCCAGCUCCACCA
rnacentral:tmRNA from 1 species